rnacentral:rRNA from 1 species
GUGAUUAAGUGAAUAAGGGCGUACGGUGGAUGCCUAGGCACUUGGAACUGAAGAAGGACGCAACAAACGGCGAAACGCGACGGGGAGUGGUACGUACACAAAGAUCCGUCGAUAUCCGAAUGGGGAAACCCGGCAGCAGUAAUGAGCUGUCACCCAUGAGUGAAUACAUAGCUCAUGAGGGAGGUACCCGGAGAACUGAAACAUCUAAGUAUCCGGAGGAAAAGAAAAUAAGAAUGAUUCCGUAAGUAGCGGCGAGCGAACGCGGAGGAGCCCAAACCAGAUCUUGAUCUGGGGUUGUAGGACCACGAGAUGGCAAGAGCAAGGCUAAGAGAACGGCAUUGAAAGGCCGACCGGAGAGGGUGCAAGUCCCGUAACUGAAAGUCUAGCGAAGCCUAGUGGUAUCCUGAGUACGGCGAGACACGAGAAAUCUUGUCGGAAGCAGGCGGGACCAUCCGUCAAGGCUAAAUAUACCCAAGUGACCGAUAGUGAACCAGUACCGUGAGGGAAAGGUGAAAAGAACCGCGGGAGCGGAGUGAAAUAGAACCUGAAACCGUAUGCUUACAAGAAGUCAGAGCCCGUUAAAGGGUGAUGGCGUGCCUUUUGUAGAAUGAACCGGCGAGUUACGUUAUCGUGCGAGGUUAAGUAGAAGAUACGGAGCCGAAGCGAAAGCGAGUCUUAAUAGGGCGACAGUACGAUGAUGUAGACCCGAAACCGUGUGAUCUAGCCAUGACCAGGUUGAAGUUCAGGUGAAACUGAAUGGAGGACCGAACCGACCCCCGUUGAAAAGUUGGCGGAUGAGUUGUGGCUAGGGGAGAAAUUCCAAUCGAACACGGAUAUAGCUGGUUCUCCCCGAAAUAGCUUUAGGGCUAGCGUCGAGGUAGAGUCGCAUGGAGGUAGAGCACUGAAUGUACGAUGGCCCCAUCCCGGGGUACUGAGUAUAAUCAAACUCCGAAUGCCAUGCAGACGUACUCGGCAGUCAGACUGUGGGUGAUAAGGUCCAUGGUCAAAAGGGAAACAGCCCAGACCGCCAGUUAAGGUCCCAAAAUGUAUGCUAAGUGGAAAAGGAUGUGGGGAUGCACAGACAACUAGGAGGUUGGCUCAGAAGCAGCCAUCCUUCAAAGAGUGCGUAACAGCUCACUAGUCGAGUGACCCUGCGCCGAAAAUGUACCGGGGCUAAGCAUACUACCGAAGCUGCGGAUUNNNNNNNNNNUAAGCAUACUACCGAAGCUGCGGAUUUGCAGUAAUGCAAGUGGUAGGGGAGCGUUGCAUGCACGUAGAAGCUGUACCGUAAGGAGCAGUGGAGAGCAUGGAAGAGAGAAUGCCGGUGUGAGUAGCGAGAUGUAGGUGAGAAUCCUACACACCGAUAGCCCAAGGAUUCCAGGGGAAGGUUCGUCCGCCCUGGGUAAGUCGGGACCUAACGCGAGGCCGAAAGGCGUAGUGGAUGGAAAACAGGCAGAUAUUCCUGUACCCGCGAUGGAAAUGAAGGAAUGACGGAGAAGGCUAGUGUGAGCCACUGAAUGGAUUGUGGUCGAAGCAUAUAGCAGGCUGACAGUGAAAUGCGUCAGCGGGAUGUAAGAUGUGAUAGGUAAGGGAACGUCCUCGGACAAGUACUGAAGCACAUGAUGCCAGCUUCCAAGAAAAGUUUCUAGUAUAUUCCAUAGCGGCCCGUACCAAAACCGACACAGGUGGGCAAGGAGAGAAUCCUGAGGUGAGCGAGAGAACUGUUGCCAAGGAACUCGGCAAAAUGACUCCGUAAGUUAGCGAUAAGGAGUGCUCUUGUAAAAGAGAGCCGCAGUGAAGAGGCCCAAGCGACUGUUUAACUAAAACACAGCUCUCUGCAAAGUCGCAAGACGAAGUAUAGGGGGUGACGCCUGCCCGGUGCUGGAAGGUUAAGAGGAUUUGUCAUCCGCAAGGAGAAGCAAUGAAUUGAAGCCCCAGUGAACGGCGGCCGUAACUAUAACGGUCCUAAGGUAGCGAAAUUCCUUGUCAGGUAAGUUCUGACCCGCACGAAAGGCGUAACGAUUUGGGCGCUGUCUCGGCAGCAGACUCGGUGAAAUCUUAGUACCUGUGAAAAUGCAGGUUACCCGCAACUAGACGGAAAGACCCCAUGGAGCUUUACUGUAGCCUGAUAUUGAAUUUUGAUCAAAGAUGUACAGGAUAGGUGGGAGGCUGUGAGACGUGUACGCCAGUAUACGAGGAGCCGCUGUUGGGAUACCACUCUUGUUUGAUUGAAGUUCUAACCUGCACCCAUGAACUGGGUGAGGGACCGUGUCAGGUGGGCAGUUUGACUGGGGCGGUCGCCUCCUAAAGAGUAACGGAGGCGCCCAAAGGUACGCUCAGAUUGGAUGGAAAUCAAUCGACGAGUGCAAAUGCAGAAGCGUGCUUGACUGUGAGACAAACAAGUCGAACAGGGACGAAAGUCGGGAUUAGUGAUCCGGCGGUGCCGAAUGGAAGGGCCGUCGCUCAACGGAUAAAAGCUACCCUGGGGAUAACAGGCUGAUCUCGCCCAAGAGUUCACAUCGACGGCGAGGUUUGGCACCUCGAUGUCGGCUCAUCGCAUCCUGGAGCUGAAUUCGGUUCCAAGGGUUGGGCUGUCCGCCCAUUAAAGCGGUACGCGAGCUGGGUUCAGAACGUCGUGAGACAGUUCGGUCCCUAUCUGUUGUGGGCGUUGGAGAUCUGAGGAGAGCUGUCCUUAGUACGAGAGGACCGGGAUGGACCUACCGCUGGUGCACCAGUUGUUCCGCCAGGAGCAUAGCUGGGUAGCUAAGUAGGGAAGGGAUAAGCGCUGAAAGCAUCUAAGCGCGAAGCCUACUCCAAGAUGAGAUCUCCCAUUCGUAAAACGAAGUAAGACCCCUUGAAGACGACGAGGUGGAUAGGUCAGAGAUGGAAGUGUAGCGAUACAUGGAGUUGACUGAUACUAAUAGGUCGAGGACUUAAUCACA